rnacentral:rRNA from 1 species
AACGAACGCUGGCGGCAGGCUUAACACAUGCAAGUCGAACGAUCCUUCGGGAUAGUGGCAGACGGGUGAGUAACGCGUGGGAACCUUCCCUAUGGUACGGAAUAGCUCCGGGAAACUGGAAUUAAUACCGUAUAUUCCCUGAGGGGGAAAGAUUUAUCGCCAUAGGAUGGGCCCGCGUUGGAUAGCUUGUUGGUGAGGUAAUGGCUCACCAAGGCAACGAUCCAUAGCUGGUCUUAGAGGAUGAUCAGCCACACUGGGACUGAGACACGGCCCAGACUCCUACGGGAGGCAGCAGUGGGGAAUAUUGGACAAUGGGCGCAAGCCUGAUCCAGCCAUGCCGCGUGAGUGACGAAGGCCCUAGGGUUGUAAAGCUCUUUUGGCGGGGACGAUAAUGACGGUACCCGCAGAAUAAGCCCCGGCUAACUUCGUGCCAGCCGCCGCCGUAAUAC